rnacentral:tRNA from 1 species
GCAGCGGUGGUUCAGUGGUCGAAUUCUUGCCUCCCACGCGGGAGACCUGGGUUCAAUUCCUGGCCAAUGCG